UAAUUGUCGUUGUUGAUAGGUGCCAUGUUUGUUGUUAACAAACAAGGUGAAACUGGGAAAUAGGUGCGUUAAUACGUCAUUCUGAGCGGAUAACAAUCCCUGUGCUGCCCCCGCAACGGUAAGUGAAUAUGAUUUUCAAUCAUAUUGUUUUGCAAUAAACCACUGAGCCACGCUAUUUUGAUAGCCCCUGCUUGGGAAGGUGCAAAACAUGUCAUUCACGAGCCCGGAGACCGGCCUCGCAACAAUUAGUUGG
rnacentral:ncRNA from 2 species